GUUCCGGAUCGUCCCCUUGGCAAACGUCGCAUUCGUAAAUCGUCUUCCCCGGAUGCAGAUUCGUGGACAACACGUGUUUUCUAAGAUUCUCCUGAAACAGAAACGAAAAAGUGACAGCGUUAGUUCACGAGUUAGUCAACGAAUGAACGAGUAUAGAUGGCGGUAAAGCACGGGAAACGAAAAAGCGAGGCUUUCGAUUGGCGACGAGUCGCGGCCACGAAUAUAGAAAGAUAUCGAAAGUGUCAUUUCGAAAUAACCUUUUCUUAUAAUUUGAUCGGCAAUCUCUUAUAAUUUUCGAAAUAUUUUAAAAGAAAGAUUAUUAUCGUGUUAAAUAUUAAUUUGUUCAACGUGUAUAUCUAAGAAGUUAGAUUAGGUUAAGUUUGUCAGCGCGAGGCUGUCGUUUAUCAAUUAUUUACGCACUCGCAGCGAGCAAAACGACACAUAACAGGAUUCCAGCGCAGCGGUAUAAUAUUAAUUUCUCUUCUACCCGGUGCAAUCCACUACUGUGCAACACGUACGCGUAAACGUUCCCGUAAUGUACACACGACGAAGACCACCUGGAGAAGGAGAAAAGAGUUGAGAAGAGCAAUUGUGAAAAAAGAAUAAGAGAUGCGUAGAAACGUCACGUUGAAAUGGACCAAGUUUUCCUAAUUCUGGAGUGGAGAGAACAAAAAGCUGUGUACGAACAUGGACGACAAGAGGAAAGAAAGAGCCAUCCGAGGUAAAUCAUAAACUGGAUGGAUAUAGGAA